AUUGUGUAUAUAUAGUGUAUAUUUAGUCUACAUUGUGUUUAUUGAGUGUAUUUUUAGUGCAUUUAGUGUAUAUUUACUGUUUAUCUUUUACAUUUAGUGUAUAUUUAGUGUAUAUGUUGUAUAUUUUGUGAAUAUUUAGUGUAUAUCGUGUAUAUUUAGUGUGUUUAGUGUAUGUAGUGUAUAUUUAGUGUAUAUUUCGUCUAUAUCGUGUAUAUAUAGUGUAAAUUUAUAUCGUGUUUAUUUAGUGUAUUUUUAGUGCAUUUAGUGUAUAUUUAGUGUAUAUUUAGUGUAUAUUUAGUGUUUAUCUUCUAUAUUUAGUGUGUAUUUAGUGUGUAUUUAGUGUGUAUUUAGUGUGUGACUUAGAGGGCCAACUGGAAUGCAAAGAUUGGAGCAGUCAGAGGUUCUCCAUGGAUCAAUCUCCCUUUGCUGCACAGGUAGAGCUAAUUGCCUGUUGGCCAUGACCCUUGAUCAAUUAAUCAAUGAAUUAAUUUGCUUCCUGCCUGUCUGGGAACUGUCAGCUCAGGGCUUGAGCUGGUGAUUGAGCACCUACUGGGGGGUGGAGCCAGCCCUGAGAGCACGGGCGGAAGCAAUGAAGCAAUGAACCGGUGGGAGUGGGCAGUGUUGGAGCCUGGCUUCACCCCCCCAGCCUCAUUUAAGGGCAGGCAGGGGAAGGGGAAGCAUCUCUGCCUGGAAGCUGCUGCCUUUGUUGCGUGGGAUGAGCUCUAACCCUUGGGAUGGGGUAAGUCUGGGGGGAUCUGGAACUGCCUUUAUGCAGCUCUAUCUUCUAAUGCCUAUUUUACCAUAUUCGUGUUUUUUUCCGUUAGGGAGACGAAUGGAUGACGUCCCUUCCUUGGAAAUCCUCUUGACGUUGCUUACCUCAGUGGGUGGAUGGGAUCUGCUGGGUCAGAGCCUGAGCCAUGGAUGGAGCAGCUGGAGGUGAGAGCCAGUCAGCCCUGGGAGUGCAGGUGGAGGCCCUUCAUCUCUGCCACCUCUUCUAGGCCUCAUGGAAGGGCUGCCUGCCCCUGAUUGAGGAUCUCAUUCUGGAGCUCCCUCCUUGCUGCAAGCUUUGCUCUGCGAAGCCAGGAUCUUGGGCUGCGGGUGAGCCAUCUGCUUCCCUUCCCUUGCAGCGCCUUGCUGCUCGUUCCACAUCAUUUGUCACGCUCUUUCCAUGCUGUUGGUCCUUCUGAUGGCUACCUUGGGUCAGCAGAUAUGCUUGUGUUUCUCCAGGGACUGGCUGUACAUGGGUUCCAGCGCGAUACAUUCGGCCUCAUCUCCAGGCAGAAAAUAACUGGGAUGGUGCGUUUCUUACUCAUUGCUUUUGUUUCGUAAUUAGUUGUAUUAUAGAUACUGAAGUGAGUGUUGAAAAACGACUGCACUACCCCCUGGAUGGCAUUGUAAUAACCAGCCUAGUAAUGGUAUGGCCAAGUAGGUGAUUUUCCCUGUGCUAGCAAGGCAGCCUCAAGAAUUAGAAUUCUUAGGCAUCAUCUAGGUUACUGUGUGCUGCUUCUAUUUCAGGAGUAGGUGAAAUGUGAAUGGAACAGGAUUUGAUGUCAGCAGUGCUGGAAUGGCAGGGACCUGUUAGUUCUGUCUCUAGCUGCGAAUGUCCUGUUUCGUGGAGAGGGCUGCCCUUGGUAGUGGAUUUUGCUUUGCAAGCAGGUGUUCCACUUGGGCUCUGUAUCACGCGCUGGCCACGCGGAUGCAGCGUCCAAAUGGAAACCAACCCUGCAGA
ensembl:lncRNA